rnacentral:rRNA from 1 species
UACAGAGGUCCCAAGCGUUGUUCGGAUUCACUGGGCGUAAAGGGUGCGUAGGCGGUCGGGUAAGUCUGGUGUGAAAUCUCACAGCUUAACUGUGAAACUGCAUUGGAUACUAUUCGGCUUGAGAGUUGGAGGGGGGACUGGAAUUCUCGGUGUAGCAGUGAAAUGCGUAGAUAUCGAGAGGAACACCAGUGGCGAAGGCGAGUCCCUGGACAACUUCUGACGCUGAGGCACGAAAGCUAGGGGAGCAAACAGG